CAAAAUAUAGUGUGAACGGGUGAUCCGGCGGACAAGCCGCCGGAGCUUAAAAGGGAAGUGCGGUGCAAGUCCGCUGCGGUCCCGCCACUGUAAUCGGUAGCUUGGUACUAAAGACGAGGCGUUCGCCUACAUCGUCUUGAAGACCCAGCCGUUCGACUGACGAUAUGCCACUACAGCUUAAUGCUUGAUGAGCUGCGGGAAGGCGUCAGCAACGUUCCGAAAGCCAGGAGACCUGCCCGUUUGAAAGACACCGA
rnacentral:ncRNA from 2 species